rnacentral:rRNA from 1 species
AACGAACGCUGGCGGCGUGCCUAACACAUGCAAGUCGCACGAGAAAGGUCUUCGGACCGAGUACAGAGGCGGACGGGUGAGUAAUGCAUGGAUAACCUGCCUUCGAGUGGGGGAUAACCCCGGGAAACCGGGGCUAAUACCGCAUGACAAGGCGCGGGCCUCGGCUCGUGCCUUCAAAGCCGGCCUCUGCUUGCAAGCUGGCGCUCGAAGAGGGGUCCAUGUCCCAUUAGCUAGUUGGUGAGGUAACGGCUCACCAAGGCGACGAUGGGUAGCCGACCUGAGAGGGUGAUCGGCCACACUGGGACUGAGACACGGCCCAGACUCCUACGGGAGGCAGCAGUGGGGAAUCUUGCGCAAUGGGCGAAAGCCUGACGCAGCGACGCCGCGUGGAGGAUGAAGACCCUUGGGUCGUAAACUCCUGUCAGCUGGGAAGAAAGGUGCCUGGUGAACAUCCGGGCGCCCUGACUGUACCAGCAGAGGAAGCCCCGGCUAACU